AACGAACGCUGGCGGCAUGCCUAACACAUGCAAGUCGAACGAGACCUUCGGGUCUAGUGGCGCACGGGUGCGUAACGCGUGGGAACCUGCCCUUAGGUUCGGAAUAACUCCCCGAAAGGGGUGCUAAUACCGGAUAAUGUCUUCGGACCAAAGAUUUAUCGCCUUUGGAUGGGCCCGCGUUGGAUUAGCUAGUUGGUAGGGUAAAAGCCUACCAAGGCGACGAUCCAUAGCUGGUCUGAGAGGAUGAUCAGCCACACUGGGACUGAGACACGGCCCAGACUCCUACGGGAGGCAGCAGUGGGGAAUAUUGGACAAUGGGCGAAAGCCUGACACAGCAAUGCCGCGUGAGUGAUGAAGGCCUUAGGGUUGUAAAGCUCUUUUACCCGGGAUGAUAAUGACAGUACCGGGAGAAUAAGCUCCGGCUAACUCCGUG
rnacentral:rRNA from 1 species